UUUGCCAGAUUUUAUUGCCAGGCUCUUGGACUUCCUAGACUCCAGAACUGAAACUCCAGAUUCAACCAAACUAAUGUCAGCAAUGUUAUGGAAACACGAGAAAGAAAGAUCAUCUUAACUCACAUUUACAAGUAGAAGAUUCUACGAGGGAAAAUGGCAGAGUCUUGCCAUGUUGUAAUCUUCCUGCUUUAGUCCCUGAGUCUACAGAUGUGACUACAGAUGUGCAUCAACAUGCCUGGCUUUUUAAGCACUGCAUCAAGAAGCCUGUGGAGUACUUAAAACAUCCCAAGACCAGCAGAUGUGGUA